GACGAACGCUGGCGGCGUGCUUAACACAUGCAAGUCGAGCGGUAAGGCCCUUUCGGGGUACGACGAGCGGCGAACGGGUAGAGUAACACGUGGGUGGACCUGCCCUCCAGCUCUGGGAGUAAGCCUGGGAAACCGGGGUACUAAUACCGGAUAUGACUCCAUGACGCAUGUUGUGGGGUGGAAAGCCUUGUGCGGCGUGAGGAUGGGCCCGGCGGCCUAUCAGCUUGUUGGUGGGGUGAUGGCCUACCAAGGCGACGACGGGUAGCCGGCCUGAGAGGGCGACCGGCCACACUGGGGACUGAGACACGGGCCCAGACUCCUACGGGAGGCAGCAGUGGGGAAUCUUGCGCAAUGGGCGAAAGCCUGACGCAGCGACGCCGCGUGAGGGAUGACGGCCU
rnacentral:rRNA from 1 species